UAGCGGCGAUGGGUGAGUAACACGUACUCAACGUACUCCUUAGAUUGGGAUAGCGAACGGAAACGUUCGAUAAUACCAAAUACUUAUUAGUUUCGCAUGAAACUUAUAUAAAAGGAGCCUUUAAAGCUCCGCUGAGAGAUCGGGGUGCGCAACAUUAGCUAGUUGGUGAGGUAACGGCCCACCAAGGCGAUGAUGUUUAGCGGGGUUGAGAGACUGAACCGCCACACUGGGACUGAGAUACGGCCCAGACUCCUACGGGAGGCAGCAGUAGGGGAAUAUUCACAAUGAGCGAAAGCUUGAUGGAGCGACACAGCGUGCAGGAUGAAGGUCCUAUGGAUUGUAAACUGCUGUGGUAAGGGAAGAAAAAGUCAUAGAGGAAAUGCUAUGACAUUGACGGUACCUUAUUAGAAAGCAACGGCUAACUAUGUGCCAGCAGCCGCGGUAAUACAUAGGUUGCAAGCGUUAUCCGGAAUUAUUGGGCGUAAAGCGUCUGUAGGUUGUUUGUUAAGUCUGGCGUCAAAUUUUGGGGCUCAACCCCAAACCGCGUUGGAUACUGGCAAACUAGAGUUGUGUAGAGGUUAGCGGAAUUCCUUGUGAAGCGGUGAAAUGCGUAGAUAUAAGGAAGAACACCAUUUUGGCGAAGGCGGCUAACUGGGCAUAUACUGACACUGAGAGACGAAAGCGUGGGGAGCAAACAGGAUUAGAUACCCUGGUAGUCCACGCCCUAAACGAUGAUCAUUAGCUGAUGGAGAAUUCGUCGGCGCAGCUAACGCAUUAAAUGAUCCGCCUGAGUAGUACGUUCGCAAGAAUAAAACUUAAAGGAAUUGACGGGGAUCCGCACAAGCGGUGGAGCAUGUGGUUUAAUUUGAAGAUACGCGUAGAACCUUACCCACUCUUGACAUCUUCUGCAAAGCUA
rnacentral:rRNA from 1 species